GAUGAACGCUGGCGGCAGGCCUAACACAUGCAAGUCGAGCGGAUACAGCGGGCAUGCUCGCGUCUUCGGCGGCCGACGGGCGAGUGAUUCAUAAGCGUCUACCUAACCUGCGUGGAUCAGAUGCGUAACCGGGCGCUAAUCCCGCAUACGUCCUGAGGCAGAAACUGGGGGAUCUUCAGACCGAAUACUAUUUGCUGAGCCUAGGCCGGAUUAGCUAGCUGGUGGGGUAAGGGCCUACCAAGGCGACGAUCCGUGACUGGUCUGAGAGGAUGAUCAGUCACACUGGAACUGAGACACGGUCCAGACUCCUACGGGAGGCAGCAGUGGGGAAUAUUCGACAAUGGGCGAAAGCCUGACCCAGCCACGCCGCGUGUGUGAAGAAGGUCUUCGGAUUGUAAAGCUCUUUUAGUUGGGAGGAAGGACAGUGUGUGAAACCCUUCCUGUUUUGACGGUACCAAAUGAAUAAGCACCGGCUAACUUCGUG
rnacentral:rRNA from 1 species